rnacentral:rRNA from 1 species
AGUGAACGCUGGCGGAAGGCCUAACACAUGCAAGUCGAACGGCAGCACAGUAAGAGCUUGCUCUUACGGGUGGCGAGUGGCGGACGGGUGAGGAAUACAUCGGAAUCUACUUUUUCGUGGGGGAUAACGUAGGGAAACUUACGCUACUACCGCAUACGACCUACGGGUGAAAGCAGGGGAUCUUCGGACCUUGCGCGAUUGAAUGAGCCGAUGUCGGAUUAGCUAGUUGGCGGGGUAAAGGCCCACCAAGGCGACGAUCCGUAGCUGGUCUGAGAGGAUGAUCAGCCACACUGGAACUGAGACACGGUCCAGACUCCUACGGGAGGCAGCAGUGGGGAAUAUUGGACAAAGGGCGCAAGCCUGAUGCAGCCAUACCGCGUGGGUGAAGAAGGCCUUCGGGUUGUAAAGCCCUGUUGUUGGGAAAGAAAAGCAGCAGGUUAAUACCCCGCUGUUCUGACGGUGCCCAAAGAAUAAGCACCGGCUAACUUCGUG